CGCCUGUUUAUCAAAAACAUGGUUUUUUGUGGAUAUAGAAGAUCGGGCCUGCCCGCUGUAUAUAUUAUGAAGGGCUGCGGUAUAUUUAACUGUACGAAGGUAGCAUGAUAAUUUGUCUAUUAAAUGUUGACUUGUAUGAAUGGUUUGACAAGAUGUUAGCUGUCUCUGUAAUAAUAAGUUUUAAUUUAAUUUACUAGUGAGUAGGCUGGUAUGUUUCUAAGKGACGAAAAGACCCUAUAGAUUUUUAAUUUUUGAUUUUUAGUUGUUGAUGAUUAUGUUGUAUUGGAUUGAGGUUUAGUAUUUUUGCUGGGGCGGCAGUUGAGGAAGAGAAUCUUCAGUUUUUUUUGAUCAUUGGUGGGUGAUUUGAYCCUUUAUAUAUGGAUAAUAAGGAGUAAAUACCUUAGGGAUAACAGCGUUAAUAUUUCUGAGAGUUCUAUCGACAGAUUAUUUGCGACCUCGAUGUUGAAUUAGGAGUAGAAAUGGAUGGAAGGAUUCAAUUGGCUAGGUCUGUUCGACCUUUAAAUUUCUACGUGAUCUGAGUUAGACCGG
rnacentral:rRNA from 1 species